CUACGUGCCAGCAGCCGCGGUAAUACGGAAGGUUCGGGCGUUAUCCGGAUUUAUUGGGUUUAAAGGGAGCGUAGGCCGUGGAUUAAGCGUGUUGUGAAAUGUAGAUGCUCAACAUCUGACUUGCAGCGCGAACUGGUUUACUAGAGUGUGCACAACGUAGGCGGAAUUCGUCGUGUAGCGGUGAAAUGCUUAGAUAUGACGAAGAACUCCGAUUGCGAAGGCAGCUUACGGGAGCACAACUGACGCUGAAGCUCGAAGGUGCGGGUAUCAAACAGGAUUAGAUACCCUGGUAGUCCGCACAGUAAACGAUGGAUGCCCGCUGUUGGUCCAUUAGGGUCAGCGGCCAAGCGAAAGCAUUAAGCAUCCCACCUGGGGAGUACGCCGGCAACGGUGAAACUCAAAGGAAUUGACGGGGGCCCGCACAAGCGGAGGAACAUGUGGUUUAAUUCGAUGAUACGCGAGGAACCUUACCCGGGCUUGAA
rnacentral:rRNA from 1 species